AGCAGCCGCGGUAAUUCCAGCUCCAAUAGCGUAUAUCAAAGUUGUUGCAGUUAAAAAGCUCGUAGUUGAAUUUCAGGCCUGGCUGGACGGUCCGCCCUUCGGGUGAGUACUGUCUGUGGUCGGGUCCUACCUUCUGGCGAAGCGUCAUGGCCUUAACCGGCCGUGGCGGGGAACCAGGACUUUUACUGUGAAAAAUUAGAGUGUUCAAAGCAGGCAAUCGCUUGGAUACAUUAGCAUGGAAUAAUGGAAUAGGACAAUGGUUCUAUUUGUUGGUUUCUAGGACCGUUGUAAUGAUUAAUAGGGAUAGUUGGGGGCAUUAGUAUUCAAUUGUCAGAGGUGAAAUUCUUGGAUUUAUUGAAGACUAACUACUGCGAAAGCAUUUGCCAAGGAUGUUUUCAUUAAUCAAGAACGAAAGUUAGGGGAUCGAAGACGAUCAGAUACCGUCGUAGUCUUAACCAU
rnacentral:rRNA from 1 species